UUCUUAACCAUGUGGUUUCUGUAUUUUUCACUGUAUCAAGUUGGUCAAACUUUUUUGUGGUUUCAAUGGGAUAUUCUGUUACUUGAAGCUGGGUUCUUAUGUCUCUUGGUAGCACCUAAGAGGAAGGCAAGGGUUCUGUCCAGUCCUC